UGGCACAAUGGUUAAGCAUUUGGCUGCUAACCAAAAGGUCGGUGGUUCGAACCCACC
rnacentral:tRNA from 1 species